UUUAGUUUGUUCUUGCGAUAACCGUUUGAAAUAACUGGUAUUACCCCUUAUAUAUAUAAGAAAGCCUCAGUCGAACAGUAAAUAUUCUCCAGUUUUCUGGCUAGUUGUUACCUACCUGAUCUUAACUAUGAAAAUUUGUGCCAUUAUCUUAGCUGUUAUUUGUGCCAUGCUACUUCUGACUGGCACAGAAGCUGCCCCAGCGCCAAAAAGACAUGGAUAUCAUCAUCACAGACCUCAUCAUGGUCACUACCCACCUCACCAUGGUCACUACCCAUCUCACCAUGGUCACUAUCCUCCACAUCAUGGUCAUCAUGGAAGACCUUACCCACACCGCCCUCAUUACGGAUGAGAUAAUGAGUAAAUUAAAAAACAUGUGAAAUAAAUAAAAAUGUAAAAUAACAGAUUAUUGCAUAUUCCAUUCCAAAUUUGCUAGAAUAAAUUUUAUUGCAUUUAA